rnacentral:rRNA from 1 species
UGGGGAAUAUUGCACAAUGGGGGAAACCCUGAUCCAGCGACGCCGCGUGAGUGAAGAAGUAUUUCGGUAUGUAAAGCUCUAUCAGCAGGGAAGAAAGAAUGACGGUACCUGAGUAAGAAGCCCCGGCUAACUACGUGCCAGCAGCCGCGGUAAUACGUAGGGGGCAAGCGUUAUCCGGAAUUACUGGGUGUAAAGGGAGCGUAGACGGCAGAGUAAGUCUGGAGUGAAAGGCGGGGGCCCAACCCCCGGACUGCUCUGGAAACUAUUCGGCUAGAGUGCAGGAGAGGUAAGCGGAAUUCCUAGUGUAGCGGUGAAAUGCGUAGAUAUUAGGAGGAACACCAGUGGCGAAGGCGGCUUACUGGACUGUAACUGACGUUGAGGCUCGAAAGCGUGGGGAGCAAACAGG